CCUACGGGGGGCAGCAGUGGGGAAUAUUGCACAAUGGGCGCAAGCCUGAUGCAGCCAUGCCGCGUGUGUGAAGAAGGCCUUCGGGUUGUAAAGCACUUUCAGCGGGGAGGAAGGCGGUGAGGUUAAUAACCUCAUCGAUUGACGUUACCCGCAGAAGAAGCACCGGCUAACUCCGUGCCAGCAGCCGCGGUAAUACGGAGGGUGCAAGCGUUAAUCGGAAUUACUGGGCGUAAAGCGCACGCAGGCGGUCUGUCAAGUCGGAUGUGAAAUCCCCGGGCUCAACCUGGGAACUGCAUUCGAAACUGGCAGGCUAGAGUCUUGUAGAGGGGGGUAGAACUCCAGGUGUAGCGGUGAAAUGCGUAGAGAUCUGGAGGAAUACCGGUGGCGAAGGCGGCCCCCUGGACAAAGACUGACGCUCAGGUGCGAAAGCGUGGGGAGCAAACAGGAUUAGAUACCCAUGUAGUC
rnacentral:rRNA from 1 species